GUCGAACCAGCUCUGUCUAGUUUAAUCCUUGGAUUUCCCUGAGUUGCAUUUGUCAUUGGAUGACAUUGCUUGGAAGUCUUCUCCAUUUUCUUUAAGGUACUAUAGAUACUGCUACAGAAGUACAUGACAUUUCCAGCCCCAUGAUUUGCAGUCCAAGACGAUUACAAACUGAAUAAAUUCCUUAACCAUUAAUGCUAAAUCAUUAUUAUAAUGUUCUCUUCUGACUGAGGACAUCAAUAAUACAACUAAUCGAACAUAAAUAAUUAUACAAUCUAAAAAUAUAUUAAAUUUAGUUUGUUUCCUUAAUAAUGAUGUCAAUGUCCUCUGAUGCCCAUGGAUUGGAGAAGAACUCAAGCAUUCCAACUGACACUGGUUGACACCUCUCUUCAAUAUACUGCACUGAUCUGUAAUUCCUUUCUUUCUCAGAGUCAUAGAAAAGUACAGCACAGAAACAGACUCUGUCUUAUGUUCUUAUGUCCCAUCUAGUCUUUGUUGAAUCACUUAAACUGCCUACUCCCAUUGACUUGCAUUGGGACCAUCGCCCUUCCAUCCAUGUACGUUUUACUUAUCCAAGCUUCUCUUAAGCGUUGAAAUCAAGCUCACUAUCACCAAUUGUGUUGGCAGCUCAUUCCACACUCUCACAACCCUCUGUGUGAAGAAGUCUCCCCUCAUGUUCUUCUUAAAUAUUUCAUCUUUUACCCUUAACCCAUGACGUCUGGUUGCAGUCCCACCCAACCUCAGUGGAAAAAGUCUACUUGCAUUUACCCUAUCAAUGCCCCUCACAAUUUUGUAUACCUUUAUCAAAUAUCCCCUCAGUCUUCUACGUUCCAAGGAAUGAAGUCCUAACCUAUUCAAUCUUUCCUUAUAACUCAGGCCCUCCAGUCCUGGCAACACCCUUAAAAAAUUUCUCUAUACUCUUUCAACCUUAUUUACAUCUAUCCUAUAGGUAGAUGACCUAAACUGCACAUAAUUCUCCAAAUUAGGCUUCACCAAUGUCUUAUAGAACUUCAACAUUACAUCCCAUCUCCUGUACUCAAUACUUGGAUUUAUGAAGACUAAUGUGCCAAAAGCUUUCUUUAUGACCCUAUCUACCAGCAUCUUCACUGACUGGUCAUUUAUAAAAGCUCAAUAAUGUUCUCAAAUCCAGAUAAUUCAAUUUCAGGCCCAGUAAUAUGUGAACUUCUUUUCCA